GAUGAACGCUGGCGGCGUGCCUAAUACAUGCAAGUCGAGCGAACAGACGAGGAGCUUGCUCCUCUGACGUUAGCGGCGGACGGGUGAGUAACACGUGGAUAACCUACCUAUAAGACUGGGAUAACUUCGGGAAACCGGAGCUAAUACCGGAUAAUAUAUUGAACCGCAUGGUUCAAUAGUGAAAGACGGUUUUGCUGUCACUUAUAGAUGGAUCCGCGCCGCAUUAGCUAGUUGGUAAGGUAACGGCUUACCAAGGCAACGAUGCGUAGCCGACCUGAGAGGGUGAUAGGCCACACUGGAACUGAGACACGGUCCAGACUCCUAAGGGAGGCAGCAGUAGGGAAUCUGCCGCAAUGGGCGAAAGCCUGACGGAGCAACGCCGCGUGAGUGAUGAAGGUAUUCGGAUCGUAAAACUCUGUUAUUAGGGAAGAACAAAUGUGUAAGUAACUAUGCACGUCUUGACGGUACCUAAUCAGAAAGCCACGGCUAACUACGUG
rnacentral:rRNA from 1 species